GACGAACGCUGGCGGCGUGCUUAACACAUGCAAGUCGAACGGAAAGGCCCUGCUUUUGUGGGGUGCUCGAGUGGCGAACGGGUGAGUAACACGUGAGUAACCUGCCCUUGACUUUGGGAUAACUUCAGGAAACUGGGGCUAAUACCGGAUAGGAGCUCCUGCUGCAUGGUGGGGGUUGGAAAGUUUCGGCGGUUGGGGAUGGACUCGCGGCUUAUCAGCUUGUUGGUGGGGUAGUGGCUUACCAAGGCUUUGACGGGUAGCCGGCCUGAGAGGGUGACCGGCCACAUUGGGACUGAGAUACGGCCCAGACUCCUACGGGAGGCAGCAGUGGGGAAUAUUGCACAAUGGGCGGAAGCCUGAUGCAGCAACGCCGCGCGCGGGAUGACGGCAUUCGGGUUGUAAACCGCUUUCGCCUGUGACGAAGCGUGAGUGACGGUAAUGGGUAAAGAAGCACCGGCUAACUACGUG
rnacentral:rRNA from 1 species